AUUUUUUUUUGGUCAGACCGUCCAAAAUUGCUAUUAGUUUUCCUCAACCAUCAUACUAUCCAAAAAUUUAAAUAUAAAAUUGCAAAUGCGUUUGCACACACCGCUUGUACAUAUAUAUGUGGGAAGGAUUCUCAUGGGUUGUUUUUUACGGAAAUUUUUUCUGAAGCAUUUUUUUUAAUGCACUUUGUAGUGGGAAAUUUCACUUGUGUUUUUUGUAGGGUGACGUGGGAAACAACAACAUUGACAGUGACAGUGUUGUGGCACGUACCUUCUUAAUAAGAACAAAAACUGAGGAGGAUCGAAAGAAGCUUGCAGCAGCAAUUCAGGAAUAUGCCCCUCCUGCUUGAAAAUACACAUGAAAGUGAUUUUCCAUCACAUUGUACAACCCUUGAGCUUCAACAAAAUUGCAAAUGCAAAAUUUUUGUGUAGGGUGGUCUUGUUGAAGCCGAUGAAUCCUCCUUUUCUUUCGGAGGGAGGGCGAGCUCCAAAAAUCUACCAAGCGGAGCCAAUAUUCAAAAGUUGACAAUAUUUUCAUAUGUACAAGAGGCUAAUGCACCUGUAUCAUGUAGAGAAGAAAGGAUGUUCUCCUCCAAAAUGCACAAAGCUCAUCUGAGAUGCAUGAAUCAGAUUCGCCUGCUGCAGCUGCUGGUCUGCUGCUGCCGCCCUUGUGGUUGAUGCUUGCUGGGCUGCUGCUGCUGCAAUGUUGCUGUGAAGCGGCUGCUACUAGAUGUUGGUUUGCUGGAUAAGUUUGUGGAUACUUUUCGUGUCGUUUUGCCUGUCUUUGUUAGUUUCAUGUUUUCAUUGUGUUAUCUGUUGUUUGUAAUGUGGGUUCACAAUUUGGAUGUAUUUGGGUAUUUUAGUGAGUUUACCCUUUUAGGUUUUAUACACUACUUCUAAAAGCAGUAUCAGCGGUGUUUUUUUUUUGCUUGCACAUCAACUUUAGGUAAUUUUAUAUCAAUGUUAUUAGUUUGUAAUAGUGGUGCCUGAGGAAUGUCUCUUGUAAAUCUAUAAAUCUUAUAAAAAUAUAUAAAUUAUUUUCAAUUA